AGCGCAGGCGGGAAGACAAGUUGGAAGUGAAAUCUAUGGGCUCAACUCAUAAACUGCUUUCAAAACUGUUUUUCUUGAGUAGUGCAGAGGUAGGCGGAAUUCCCGGUGUAGCGGUGGAAUGCGUAGAUAUCGGGAGGAACACCAGUGGCGAAGGCGGCCUACUGGGCACCAACUGACGCUGAGGCUCGAAAGUGUGGGUAGCAAACA
rnacentral:rRNA from 1 species